CCCAACUAUCCCUAUUAAUCAUUACAUCGAUCCUAGAAACCAACAAAAUAGAAUCAAACGUCCUAUUCCGUUAUUCCAUGCUAAUGUAUUCAAGCGUGAGCCUGCUUUAAACACUCUAAUUUUUUCAAAGUAACAGUCCUGAUUCCCCAAAACACCAAAUUAAUGGCAUUAAGAUUCGUCAGAAAGGAGAAACCAAUAAUACCAGUACGUACAAAAGCACGACCAAUAAACCGGUCUCGAAAUUCAACUACGAGCUUUUUAACUGCAACAACUUUAAUAUACGCUAUUGGAGCUGGAAUUACCGCGGCUGCUGGCACCAGACUUGCCCUCCAA
rnacentral:misc_RNA from 1 species